GCCUUCGUGGUGUAACGAUCAGCACACUCGGCGCGUAAUCGAGAGGUCCAGGUUCGAGUCCCUGCGAGGACA
rnacentral:tRNA from 1 species